UUUAAAUCAGACUGAACUUCAGGCAGAUUUCCUUAUAUUGUAAAUUAGUGGCUUAUUUAUAUGACCUUUAUAGGGCAUCUAAUGAUAGUGGGUUUUUUUUUCUUUUUUUUUUUGAGAUGGAGUUUCGCUCUUGUUGCCCAGGCUGGAGUGCAAUGGUGCGAUCUCAGCUCACCGCAACCUCCACCUCCCAGGUUCAAGCAGUUCUCCUGCCUCAGCCUCCAGAGUAGUUGGGAUUACAGGCAUAUGCCACCAUGCCUGGCUAAUUUUGUAUUUUUAGUAGAGAUGGGAUUUCUCCAUGUCGGUCAGGCUGGUCUCAAGCUCCUGACCUGAGGUGAUCCGCCCACCUUGGCCUCCCAAAGUGCUGAGAUUAUAGGCGUGAGCCACUGCGCGCAUCUGUGUUACUUAUUUGAUGUAUUUUGGUGACAUUUUGAAUGGGGGCAAAUGAGAAAAGGGCUCUGGCACUAAGCAUUUAUUAGAUAACUCUUUUACAGGACAGUGUUUGGUAGUGAAGUUACUCUGCCCAUGGCAGUGUGGCCAUGCUGCAGCUUGACACCACUCCCUGUAAUAGAGAAUGGAUUGUGCUGUGAUUUUAACAUUUCCCUUAAGAAAAGGGUGUUAGGUUAUGAUAAAACUUUUAUACUGUCUUUGUGAGGUUUUGGUGAGUUAGUAAGUAGGCUUCCCUAUCAUUAAGAAAAAGUCUUUAAAUCUUUGUUUCUACUUGCAGAACAUUUAUUCCUUCUUUGUAAGAAGAACCAGGAUAAUUUGUUCAUUUGUAUAGUUGAUCCUUGAACAGCUUGGAAGUUCGGGGCACUGACCCCCAUGCAGUUGAAAGUCCACAUAUAACUUUUUGACUCCCCAAAAACUUGUCUGAGAGUUUCCUGUUGUCUGAAAGCCUUACUGAUAGCAUAAAUAGGUGAUUAACACAUGUUUUGUAUGUUAUAUGUAUUAUAUAUUGUAUUCAUGCAAUAAAGUAGGCUAGAGAAAAAAUAAGGAAGAGAAAAUACAUUUAUGGUAUGGUAUUGUAUUUAUUGAUAUUGUAAGUUUACAUCAUCUGUUUACAAGAUGAUGUAUGUCAGUCCGAAAUGGUAGGUAACCACAGCUGCAGACCUCAAUCUACAGUACAUUUCAAGUAGUUCAACUUUUUCCUGUAAUGUCAUUACUUUUCUCUGCUUCUUGGGAGCACUUCCAGCAUUACUAGUGGCACUUCGUAUGGGUCCCAUGGUGUUAUUCAAGUUUUAUGGUUAUUACAGUAAACAUGACUUGCUUACUGUGUAUGUUAUUGGUAUCACAGGGUGUUAUAAGUGGAUAAUUGUAGUGUCUGAGCCCAGUGUAAUAGCAAUAGGAGGUGACUUCAGAAUUAUUACGGCAGUACAGUAUAUACCGCAGUUAAUUUUAUGUAGUUGUGAUUUGAUAUAUCUUUAUGUUUGCUUACAAUUCUCUCAAAUUUGAAUGAUGCUAUUUAUGUUCUGUGUGUGUGUUAGUUUUGAUAAAUUUUAUCUUUUUAAAAUUUGUAUAUGUUUUAUGGUAGUAAAUGACAAAAUAGACUAGUAUUCACUUUUUUUUUUUUUUUUUUUUUUUUUCCUGAGACGGAGUUUCACUCCGUCGCCCAGGCUGGAGUAGUGCAGGGGCGCGAUCUCGACUCACUACAUCCUCCGCCUCCUGGGUUUAAGCAGUUCUCCUGCCUCAGCCUCCCAAGUAGCUGAGAUUACAGGCGCCCACCACCACGCCUGGCUAAUUUUUUGUGUACUUUUAGUAGAGAUGAGGUUUCACCAUUUU
rnacentral:lncRNA from 10 species